CCAGACGGUUGGACGGUCGCGCUCGGGCAAUGGGGAAACCCGUCCGGGUGAGGAAAGUCCGGGCUCCACGGAAACACGGUGCCGGCUAACGGCCGGCGGGGGCGACCCUAGGGAAAGUGCCACAGAAAGCAAACCGCCCGGAACGGUCCGCCGCUUCGGGUAAGGGUGAAAGGGUGCGGUAAGAGCGCACCGCCUCUCCGGCAACGGCGAGGGCAGGGUAAACCCCACCGGGAGCAAAACCGAGUAGGGACGGUAGCCGCGCGGCGGUGUGAUCUCUCUUUUGAGAUAUCCCCCCGAAAGACGGCAGGCGGGUUUUCGCGCCCCGUCCGGGUAGGUUGCGAGAGGCGGUCGGCAACGGCCGCCCCAGAUGAAUGGCCGUCCACCACCGGUUCGCCGGUGGGGACAGAACCCGGCUUACAGACCGUCUGGCCCU
rnacentral:RNase_P_RNA from 1 species